UUAAACUAUAGUCUUUUGUAUUCAUUAUAGAAAAAUCAAACCUUUACAUGUAACGACUUGUGCAAACAAAAAGCCAUAACUACGCCUCUGAUUAGUGAUUACAUUGCACAUGAAUCAAACAAUUGUUUUUUUCCUUUUGAGAAGAAAAACUACACAAACCUUCACAUAAGUUGCGAAGGAAAAAAAGAAAAAACGAAAAAUAAGAACGUUAAUUAGUGUCCACGGCCUCUCUUGCUCGGUCCAGACGCUAAUCGGAAAGCCAAGCUCCUCAUCAAAGGAAUCCUCGAGCUGUUCGCAGCACCAGCCGCUGUGAAAAAGCUAAAACCACCUCCGUCUACGGCGGCCAUUUGAUCAUAGCCGUUCAUCUGCUCUGUUUUCAGAUCUCUGCAAUCAACUCCAGAAAUAAUCAAAGACAUAUGCACCAAUAAGAUGGUGAAUAACACGAUCCGAAGCUUUUUCUCCAUAUCGAUCUUUAACUUCACUUCAAUUUAUUGCUUCUCUCUCUAAGUCGUAGUCUCUCUCUCUCUUUGAGAAUUUUGGCUUUGUAAAAUGAGUUGUUGAGUUAUGAGAUGAAGGGCAUGUGUGUAUGUAUAUAUAGGUGU
rnacentral:lncRNA from 1 species